rnacentral:SRP_RNA from 1 species
GAGUGGGGAGCUAGCGGUGCCCUUUUUUCUCGAAAUCCGCUUACGCGAGGCUGAAGUCCCCCUUUAGGGUUCUCUCAAAGUUUGAUGCCAAUACAGACCGAAUCACCAUAGAACAGGCAGUCAUGAACCUCGUCAGGUCCGGAAGGAAGCAGCGAUAAUUGAUUUAGUCUGUGUCUAUGAACUGACAAGGUCAAGUUAAUGGCUUUUUCUUUGAUUAAAGCUCAACAGGGGGUGCA